rnacentral:rRNA from 1 species
GGGAAAUCUAGAGCUAAUACAUGCAGUUUAUGGUCGAGCUUGCUCGGCCAAGCAUUUAUUAGUUUUAACCAAUUACUGCGCAAGCAGUAAGGUGAAUCUAGAUAACUUUGCUGAUCGCAUGGCUUUGCCAGCGACGUUUCAAUUGAGUUUCUGCCCUAUCAAUUUGUUGGUAAGGUAUUGGCUUACCAAGGUUGUAACGGGUAACGGGGAAUCAGGGUUCGAUUCCGGAGAGGGAGCUUGAGAAUCGGCUACCACAUCCAAGGAAGGCAGCAGGCGCGCAAAUUACCAAAUCUAGACAGUAGGAGGUGGUGAAGAGAAGUACUAAGUGGUGGUUAUUUACUACCAGCUUGGAAUGGACGUAAUUUAAGCAUUUCGAUGAGUAACUACUGGAGGGCAAGUCCUGGUGCCAGCAGCCGCGGUAAUUCCAGCUCCAGUGGCGUGAUUUAAAGUUGCUGCGUUUAAAACGCUCGUAGUUGGAUCAAGCGGUGUCAGUUUGUAGUCUGUGGCUAGCAUUUGACUGCUUCAGUCGAUGCUAGUUGUGGAUUAAAACGCAAACUGUCACUAUUUAAUCGCAAAUAUGUUAGUUGACCUUUAAUGAGUUGACUAUCAUGUUUUGCAGAGUUGUGCCUUGAAUAAAACAGAGUGCUCAAAGCAGGCGAACGCUUGAAUGUUGUAGCAUGGAACGAACA